GUCUCCUUGAUCUUGUCGUCUCCGUCGGUGUACCUUAUCGGCGACGCCUCUUUCUAUGUCUCGCUCUCUCUCGGUGGUUCUCUGUCUCGGUAGUUCUCGCUCUCUCUAUCUCUCUCUCUCGGUGGUUCUCGGCUUCUCUCUCUCUCGGUGGGUGUCCUCGAGGCGACGAAGCUCUCCUUCGGUGGCUCAGAUCGGAGACGUCUCCUUCGGUGUCUCUUAUCGGCGACGGAGCUCUCCUUCUGAGGCUCUAAUCGGUGACGUCUUAAUUGAAAGUUUGUAGGUACUCUUCGAACCGGUAUCUCGGUGGGACUUCUCGUUGAAGCUUUCUCUCGGUGGCUCACCUCAAAUCGAAAGGAGUACGAAGAGGAGUACAUUUGGUGGUUGGCCGAGAAGCA